GACGAACCGAGCGAACGUUGUUCGGAAUCACUGGGCUUAAAGGGCGCGUAGGCGGGUGCUCAAGUCCGGGGUGAAAUCCUCCAGCUCAACUGGAGAACUGCCUCGGAUACUGGGUGCCUCGAGGGUGGUAGGGGUAUGCGGAACUAUCGGUGGAGCGGUGAAAUGCGUUGAUAUCUACAGGAACUCCGGUGGCGAAAGCGGCGCGCUGGACCUCUUCUGACGCUGAGGCGCGAAAGCUAGGGGAGCAAACGGG
rnacentral:rRNA from 1 species